rnacentral:rRNA from 1 species
UACGAGGGGGGCAAGCGUUGUUCGGAAUUAUUGGGCGUAAAGGGCGCGUAGGCGGUUUGGCAAGUUUCGUGUGAAAACUUCGGGCUCAACUCGAAGCCUGCACGGAAAACUGCCGGGCUUGAGUAUGGGAGAGGUGAGUGGAAUUUCCGGUGUAGCGGUGAAAUGCGUAGAUAUCGGAAGGAACACCUGUGGCGAAAGCGGCUCACUGGACCAUAACUGACGCUGAGGCGCGAAAGCUAGGGGAGCAAACAGG